rnacentral:lncRNA from 1 species
UACCAUCCAUAAGCAUUGCUGCGUCUAGGCGCAUGGGAUCCGGCCUAAGGGGCGCGAGGAUUGAGCUAGCGACCGUGGUACUCAUCAUCAGGUCGACGGCAACGCAUGCGAUCACAAACGACGACCUCGACGAACACAACACUAGACCUGGACGCUCUCUUGUCGCCGUAACGCCGAGCGGACGUACGGCCAAAGCUGAGGUGAUGAUCCAGGUGAGAUCUUGAUUAAUCAAAAAUAAAUGAAAUUCUAGUACAGAGAAGUUCUAUAGUGGCGGUUGUAAACCUAUUUAUAGUGGCGUUUUUCGUAACCGCCAGUGGUAGGGCCAGUAGAAAUCAUCAUUUUUACAGGCGGGUAACUGAGGACCGCCAGUGAAAAUCGAUUUUUUCUACUAGUGAAACUCUCACGACAACGAAACUUGCAAUCGAUCCUCCAUCAUCUCACUCUCAGGUGGACGAUCAAACACGGCAGGGCACACCAAUAAUGUUACAGCACACUAGAUAUCGCGAAGGCGAAUGCAUGCAGCAUGCAUGAGCUAAUCGAUCUCAGGCCGACGUCUCCGGAGCCGCCGGCGCCGACGUGGGCACGCCGUUCUGCCCCAUCAGCUUGGUCAUGGCCUUCUCGCACAGGUUCGGGUGCGCCGUGAAGGAGCACGUAUCCUUGACGUUGAUCGUGGCCACCGCGCCCCACGUGGAGACGGAGAGGACGGCGAGGACGACCACGAGGCCGCGGAGAGCAGCGGCAGAGGCGGCGGCCAUGUCGAUCCUCUUGCGAGAGAUGCCUUGCGGGCUGCAGAGCGGAAGGUGACGGACGGACGCUCUCUGGAUUGUUUCAUGUAUGGAAAGCAUGGAGGUGCUCUCUUGUAGCGUACUAGCGUGAGGCCGAGAGGGAGAGAGUCGCAAGCUCUCGGCAUGCAUGCAUGCCAGAGCGUGGCGAGGGCGAGCCGGAGGCGAGCGUACGGACAGGCAACGUCCAUGUCACUCCGUCAUCAACGGGAAGAAAAAUGUCUCAAUAAUGAGAGCAAACAAAACAUAGUAGUCUUAAAAGCGAAGCGAGAAGAUUCAAGCCAAGGAGGGGCACAGUAGAAGUUAGAGCAUGAACAACAUUGAGACACCAGUUUAGUUUUCCAAAUAUAAGAGACUACUAAAAGUUUACAUGAUACAAUCUUGAUAAUUAAACCUAGAUCAUAAAUACAGUUAAAAGACAAAAUGUAUGGAGAAUCGUAUAGAGGCAGAUUCUUCACGAAGAGUCCGUCUCUUAUAUUUUUUAAUUAGCUCUUCAGAUACUCCGAGUAUAUCCCAUAUUAAAUGAGGUCAUGUACAACCCUAAUUCGUUUUUUGAGACGACUAAAAGAUUGCAUAGUACAACCUUAGAAUUUGGAUCGUCAAUGUAGCUAAGAGAACGUGUAUAGAAAGUCAUGAAACUGUAUUCUUUUUAUUUAGUCCAAUAAAGACCCCUCAAAAGACCACAUGUAAUAUAUAUUACAUGUCCUAAUAAACAUUUCACGGAACAUUUCUUUAGCGCCUUCGGUGUCAGUGUAAAGGAUAACACCUAGUUGGAUUAUAUCACAUUUAGACCUGUAAACCUUAUUAUCAGUGCCCAGCACUAAUGGCUAGCUUUGUACAACGAUUUGAAGCAAAUCACAAUACGCGGACGCAUAAGCUUAAAAGGUACAUACCCAACAACAGUAGAUGUCUAAAAGCUCUGUCAAAAUUGAAAAGCACAGCUACAUGGCACUACCGAAAACAGGUGCUUUGCAUCUAUAGAAAAUAAAGUAGAGACCAUUCUCGAAUUUGAAAUCUCCACACAAAAUAACCAAUGAAAGUGCAAGUUUCCAUCUAUAGUUAGUUGCACGUACAUUGCUAUAGUAGGUAGACCUUGCUUAAAUAAAAUAUUUAUUCAAACACAACUGUAUUUUUUUAAAAUUUCAAAUUAUUAGUAUAUUUAUAUAUUUACAACAUCUCUAUUUUAUAUAACACAAAUAUACAUGGGUUGCAGUAGUAGAAGCCAUGUGCUUUAUAUCAAGUGAGUAGGGUUUGAAUCCUCCACACCCUAUUUUUCUGAUAUUCCGCGCCUGAGGGGAAAUUUGGAUAUUCUGCACAGGAUGGAAAAUUUAUUGGCUCGUUGCACUCCCUGGAGUAAUCGAUGCACGAAGAAACUCACGCUUAAAUAUAAAACUAGUCGGCUACCCGUGCGUUGCAACGGCUCACAACAAUACCCACGUAAACUGUCCACCAAAAAGAUCUCAAGGUUUUUUAUUGGUUGUCUCCACUCUUCACAUAAUAUUUUUUAUGAACGCGCGGGUACCAUAGGCAACAAAUCAGAGACCCUCAUCCCUCGCCUCUCCCACUUCCAAGGUUUCGUAGAGCAAGAGGGGAAGGAAAGACGAGGGCAUACCUGUUCGUUACCGGAGAAGGACACGACGAAGACCAGGGCAUCUGGAGGCGACAUAGGUAGUAUAGCGCUAGAUAUAUAGGGAGAGAGCACGCAAGCAGAGAAAGAAGCCCAACCAGAGUAGCUCCAAACCAAGAGGCACCUGCACCAGGCGUCAGUCCGAGAAGGGCGAGAGAAUGCGAGUGUUUUCCCAGCCCUGGACCCGCCGAAGCGACACAACACCACUACCAACUCCGUAGCAUAUGCCGAAUGCUGCCACGCUACGGGUCUUAGUUGUCCAAUAUCUCAGACCUUGACUCCUCAUCGCUAAGAUAACCUAAGCGUGCCAGGCGCCACCAUGUUCUCCUCGACGGCACACACGGAGAAAGGCCAGGAGCAUGACCGACUCGCCCUGUACCUGUGUCGACGAGUGUCGGUCGGCUCGCGGCUGCGACUGUGGGCGGGGGCAGCAGAUUGGGGUGAAAGAACAGGGCGAAGACAGGGAAGACGAACGGGACGUCUGACGACAGCGAAAACGAUGGUGCGCGCAUGUUGUGAAACGUCCUUGUGGACGUGCAAUAGCCACUGCGCGAGUCGGUGUCGGGGCUGGUGUCAGACAAAUACGGGGAGGAGGCGCCUACUCCUACGCCCUCUGCCGAUAAUGGGGUGUGAAAGUUGCCUAGAGGGGGGGAAUAGGCAAGUUAAAACUUUUUCAACAAAAACUAGAAGCAAACUGGGUAAAACUGAAUUGAUCUCGAAAUUCACCCAGUUAACUUUGGAAAUGAGAUGUUCUAGUUGAUCCACAGGGUUCAAAGUAGUAGAUAUGAGAAGGGCACUUCUCAAAAUCCACACACCAAAAAUAUAUAAACAAAUCUUCCACGCAAUGGUGAGAGAACGAAGAACACAAACAAACACAAUGAGCAAGAACACAAGAGACACAAGAUUUAUCCCGAGGUUCGGUCACACCACCAAGGUGCCCUACUUCCUCGUUGAGGCGCCCACAAAGAGCCGGGUCUCUUUCAACCCUAAUCCUCCCUUUGCCGACCACAAAGGUCAAGCCCACACAAUAAUCUUUGCUCAAACGAGCGGGUAAUACAAACUUUUUUAUGGUCUUCCACAAGAUUUGGAGGCUCACAAGAGACACCUAGUCGUCUAGGAGCUAGAAGCUCCAAGAGUAAUGAAUCCACAAAGAACUCGAUGUAGUACCAAAGCUCGAAUCAAGAAGAGCAAGAGAGAUUUGGAGAUGAAACCCAAAAACCGCAGCUCUCAAACUCACUCAAAGAUUCCUCUCCAAAGAUUUGAAAUGGGAGAGGCAAGAGGUGUGUGAGAGAGAGUGGGAGGUGUUUCUCAGGUUAGAAAUGGAGUUUUGUGCGUGCUAUACUGUGGGGGAAGAGUGUGGGAGGUGUAUAUAAAGGUGCUCCCAAAAGCUGGUGGCCGUUGGGGAAAUCUGACUGAAAUUCGGUUGAACCGGUUUCAAAUUCGGUUGAACCGGAUUCCACCAGUCGGUUUUCGGUUCACUGGCGGACUCAGCCGGAGACUGAACCGGACUCAAAUUCGGUUGAACCGGUUUCAAAAUUCGGUUCAACCGGCUUCAAAUUCGGUUGAACCGGAUUCAAAAUUCGGUUGAACCGGUUUUCCAAAAAUCUGCACAUGACUUUUUCUGACAGGACUGACUGGCAGACUGGCAGUGAUAGAGGGGAAUAGUGCAGAAACCGGUUGAACCGGUUUUAGGUCUGGUUGAACCGGUUUUUGAACUGUUGCACAGAUUUUGAGAAAACCGAAGUGAAUCCAGGGUAAAAUGGAAGUUUUAGAUCAAGGAUUUUGAGCUUUAGUACCAACACCAACCUUCUUUAUGGAUCCCCCUUUAUAGUACGACGAUUCCUAUACUCAAGUCAAAUAAAAUAUAAUUAAGUAAACUCCUUGAGUCAUUGGUGUCUCAAGUGUGAUUUCUCCAUGAUGUUGCUUCAUAAGGAUCACAAACAUCUUUGUCUCACCUUUUGAAGCAAACACAAAUCGAGUCUGUGACUUGUGCCAUUUCACCAUAUAUGAGUUCAAAUCAUGGCUUCAAGUCACCUUACUGAUGCAUCAACAUGUUGUAACUCUUCAUAGCUGAUUAGUUCAUCGACUUAGUGCAAGUACUCUCUUCUUCACCUUAGCCAUGGUACCUCGGUCUACAAGCCGUCGCUUGGCCUUCACCUUCGCUUAGUUCCUCGAAGCCCUUUCCUUGCUAUCUUCACCCUAUCAAGCCAUUCUUGAGUCACAUCCUAUUGAGCAUCCAUUGAGAGAAUCAUUUCUUCAAUAUUGUGAACCUUGCUUGAAUGUCAUCUAGAUAUAACUGCUAAGAUCAAUCAAUCUCUAGUUUGAUUCUCAUAUAUUCAUAUAUGGAGUAAUAGUAAUAUGGUCAAGCCAAUUCACGAUUCCUCAUAUCUUAUUCACUUUGGCUUGACCAAUCCUCUUAAUCACUUCAACCUCUAUUAUGAUCAUAUUUAUGCAUAGUGAUUUCUCAGGACUUGUCCAUAUAUUCAAACCAAUAUAGAGACCAUAUUAUAUCCAUUUGCAUUAUCUCAUUGGUUAUUUGACCUUGUGUUGAACCUUGUUCACUGAUCAUUAUACACUAUUCAAGUAUGUUCAUCAUACUGAAUUUCCUGUUCAACACUUAGCAAACUUGUUAGACCUUUAAAUGUGUUGUGUGUUGUUAUCCAAAUCACCAAAACUCACAAAAGGGAUGAAUGCACUUUCAAUCUCCCCCUUUUUGGUGAUUGAUGACAACACAUUUAAAGCUUACAUAAGAUUUGAUAAAUAAGAUUUUGAAUCCUAUGAUAUAGUUUCCUCCCCCUAAAUAUGUGCAUUUCAUAAAAUACCAAUUUUGUACUCAAAUGCCAAAACCACAUAUUUGGGUCAAAGAGUGAAGACAACUUAUAUCAUACUAUUCAUAGGGUGCUUUGUGUCAUAAAUAAACGUGAUGCUCAUGACAUAUUAUGCACUCAUCAAUUUCCUUCAUCUUAUGUUUUACUUAUGAUUCAACCCCCUUUUGUCAAUUAUUUCUCCCCCUUUUCAAAAGUCUUCUUACACUUAGUUACAUAAGACUAAAGGUAAGCUUUAAUGCACAAUUUCUCCCCCUUUGUCAUAAAUCUCCAAAAAAAGAUAUAAAGAAUUUAAAGGGUAGAAAUUAUGAUUAAUCAAGAUUUGAACACACUAUCAUGAAAAGGGUCCUUAUAUGGCACAAAGGUAAUGGAGAAGUGUCAUAAGUGAUGUACCUUUGCGUUUUACCUUUUUCAAAGGGGUGUUCCACACUUGUGUUGUAUUUAGAGUUCAUUUUGCAAUCUCUUGUUGGCAUAAUUGUGACAUAGGUCCAAGAUAUCAAAUGAAUAUUGUCAUACUAAUUGAAAGAUAAAUCUUGAUACCUUGAGUCUAGAUGUCACUGUCACACCCGGUUUUAGAAGGCAAACCGAAUGCGAACCAUGUACGUGUCAGGAUCAGUUAUUCACGUACACAGCAGUUACAUAACAUGGACAUCAUCACACAGUGCUCAAAAUAGUAUUAAGAAGGGAAAUAGUCGAUUACAUCAUACGCCUGAGACGUCCAUAUAGUCUUUACAAUAAAUCAAAGUGCGGAAAAGAAACGUAGAUAAAUGCGGCCUUCACAGGCAGCCGACUGGGGGUUGCCGCUAACCCACACCUAGAACUCGUCGUAGUCUUGGAACUCCUGGAAGUCUCCUUCCACAGCUUCAUCUUCUCCUGAGCAGUGGUUGCAAUGCUGACAACCUGGGGAUGGGGGGGGGGUUUGGUGUGUAGAGCAAGGGUGAGUACACAUCAACAUACUCAACAAGUAUCCUGUUUGGCUGUAGUGGACUAGCUUUAUGUGGGGAUAAGUCAAGCAGUUGCUUUUAGUUGGUCAGAUUAUUAUUUACUAAUAGAAAGCCAGGUUUUAGCAUUAACCCAAGUUAUUAGCCCGAUGUACCCUUUCCAAACGGAAAGAAUACCACUUACCAACACCAUAGUCAUAACCAAAACCAUCGAUCUCAUAACCACCUGUACCGAAGUAUCUCUGAUCAAGUACCACUAAUCACUGGAGCUCCCUUGGUCGCUCAUAACCGCGAGCACGACUGAUAUAUCAGUUUUCAAACACUCUGCAGAGGUUGUGCACUUUACCCACAAGCCGUGAUUCCCUUUCUGCCCGGAGAUCAUGACUCUCCAUUGAUCACUACCAAGGUGACCCAGCAGGGCAUCACUACGUAGCCUUUACAAAGAUUCCCCGGGACUGUAGCCACCCGUUAGGUUUCCUAAAUGCACCGCACUCCUCCCCAAGGGGCGAACCCAAACUUGGCAGAGCGAGCCGCAUACACCGAGCCCCAUUGACGGCACGACGGCUAAGUGAACUACACCCCGGAUCCUCUAAUUAUUCAGCUAAGGGCACCCCAUUCCACCCUCAUGGUUGCACUGUUUUCCCGGGCGGUCAUCCAUAGAACAGGUCCUUACGGAGAGGCACUCGAGAAACCGCUCGAGCCCCCUUGAUGACCACAAGUACAACAUUAUAAUAAGAGAAGGGAGAACAGCGUAUCAUAGAUAAUCUCAUCAUGUUCAUUGAUUAGAGUUUGAGCAAUAGCAUAAAGCUAAACAAUAAUAAUCCAACCCAAAUAGGUAGACAAGGACAUGGAUAACAAAAGCUAGUCAAUCCUUAGGCAUAAAUGUGUAAUGCGGGAGGUGAAUUAAAGAAUGUAUAGGACAGAGAUAGGUCAAGGGACACUUGCCUCCACCAACCGACUACUGCUCAGGGGCUUCUCCUACGAGUUCCUCGGGCUCUUCAACCGGAUCGUUCUCUAAGCGGGUGCAAACAUACAUACAUCCAUCCAUUAAAAUUAGGAAACCAACAGUACACCAUACAAGAGAACAAGUAAAGCAAAUAUGCAUAGAAUACCACAUACGAUAAUGGAUUUACCUUGGUUAGAAAGAAACGAGGGAAGGUCUCGCAGGGGUUAAGGCUUAUGCUCGAGGGGCACUACGGGUUGGUGAAUAACUAGACGUCACGUGUUCUAGUCCCAAUUGGUUCUAACAAAAGAAUUAGCUACAUGCACUAAUGUAAACGCGAUCACUUUUAGUAGAUUAACAUUGAAUAAGAUAGACGAUUGGCUAUACAAAUUAACUAACGUAACCAAUUUCCAAAUUGAGACUCCUGUCUUAUUAAUAUAAACGACGUGAUUAGCGCAUAUAGGAUACGGGGGGGUUAGGGGGGUAGACGAGGCACGACGGGUCGUGCCAAGGCACGCGCACUACGCGGGCACGCGCGCGAGGCCGCACGCACACACCACGGACUAGUCGUGCGCACGUCGGGUCCGAGCGCUAGCCGAGCUCAAAGCCGCGCGCCAUAGGCACGCUGGGCCAAGCUCGAGACCACGCAGGGGCCGACACGACGCGAGCAAGGCACGGCGGGGCGAGCGGGCAAGCAGACGGGGAAAACGAGCGCGGGCGAGCGAGGAUACGGCCGGACGAGGCCGAGCGCGGGAACAGGCGGCCGAGCCGGGGCACGGGGGCGGUUGAACCGGGGGGGCGGCCGAGCUCGCCGGGAGGCGGGCGGGUCGCCGAGGCGGGGACAGGGGACGGCUCACCGGAGCGGGCGCGGGGCGGCUCGCUGGAGCGGGCGCGAGGGCGGGGCCGAGCCGGACACGGGAGGGGGAGGGGCGGCUCGCCGGAGGGGCGGCUCGCCGGAGGGGCGGCUCGCCGGAGGGGCGGCCGGGCGCGGGGGCGGGCUGGUCGCCGGAGGCGGGGCCGAGGGGCGCGGCCAAGCCGGGACGGGUUCACCGGAGCGGGGCCGAGGCGGCCGAGCUCGGGGCGCGGGCGCGGGGGAGGGCGGGGCGCGGCCGGGCGGGCGGCGCGGGGUGGCCGGGCCGGGCGGGGUCGGCCGGGCGGGCGGCGCGGGGUGGCCGGACGCGGGCGGGGUGGCCGAGCCGGGCAGCGAGGGGGCGCGAGCGGCCGGGCCGGGGGCCGAGCCGGGCGGCGCGGGUGAGGGGAGGGCGCCGGAGGGAGGAGAGGGAGGGAGGAGAGGGGGGAAGCCUCACCGGAGGGGGGCGGCGCGGGGCGGCGCGCAGGGGCGGCGGCGGCGGCGCACAGGGGCGGUGGCGGCGGCGCACAGGGGCGGCGGCGGCGCGCAGGGCAAGGGGCGGCGCGGUUAGGGUUUGGGGGAAGAGAGAGAGGGUGAGAGAAUGACGGGCGGGGCCCGCGGGAGGGAUUUUUGGAAAAAAGAAAAGGGAGGGGGGCGGCUGGGCCGGCCAUGGGCCAAAAGGGGGGGAAGGGGGGCGCGCGGCUGGGCCGGCCGGGAGGCCCACGCGGGAGGGGAGGGGGGAGGCGCGGCUGGGCCGGCGCGCAAGGGGGGGCGGCUGGGCCGAAAUGGGAAAGGGAGAGAGGGAGAGAAUUUUCUUUUUCUAAAAUCUAAUUUUCUUUGGAUGAAUGCUUUUACAUUUUUAAACAAUCAAAAGUAUGCAUGGUUCGGCAUGGUGCACCAUCCAAAAUAAAGUAUUUUAAGGUUUUGCUUUACACGGGGUCUAAAGCCAAAACCCGCUAUAACUUUGGAAAAGAUCAAGGUUUAGCGAGGGAACGAGAAAAAAGAAAAGGGUAACGCCUGAAUUUGGUGAGAGAAAAGAAGAAAAAAUUCUACCCCCAAAUUCAGGGCGUUACAAACCUACCCCCCUUAAAAGAAUCUCGCCCUCGAGAUUCAGGGUUGGCUAGCAAAGAGCUCAGGGUAUUUAGCCAUCAGAUCAUUUUCACGCUCCCAGGUUGCUUCUUUCUCAGAGUGAUGAUUCCAUCUGACCUUGCACAUUCUGAUGGUCUUCUUUCGGGUGACUCUGUCUGCAACCUCAAGGAUCUGCACUGGCUUCUCAACGUAGGUCAAGUCCUCCUGGACUUCGAGACCUUCCACUGGCAACUGCUCUUCUGGCACACGCAAGCACUUCUUCAACUGAGACACAUGAAAGACAUCAUGCACAGCGGACAAAUUCUCUGGCAGACUGAGCUGAUAGGCCACUUCUCCACGUCUUGCAAGAAUUUGGUACGGACCAAUGUAGCGGGGUGCUAGCUUGCCUUUGACUCCGAGUCUCUUGACUCCUCUGAUCGGGGACACUUUCAGAUAGACAAAGUCUUCGACUUCGAAACUCAGCUCUCUUCUUCUUGUGUCUGCAUAGCUUCGCUGUCUUGAUUGCGCUAUCUUCAGAUUCUCUCGGACCAUCUUUAUGUUCUCUUCGGCUUCAAGCAAAGUGUCUGGCCCAAACACUUGCUUUUCUCCAGGCUGAUCCCAUUGCAACGGAGUUCUACAACUCCUUCUAUAGAGCGCCUGAAAUGGUGACAUCUUCAAACUGGCCUGGUAACUGUUGUUAUAGGAAAACUCUGCAUAAGGCAAUCGCUUGUCCCAUCCGGACUGAUCUUGCAACGCACAGGCUCUCAACAUGUCUUCAAGAAUUUGGUUGGUCCUUUCGGUCUGGCCAUCUGUCUGUGGAUGAUAAGCUGAACUGAAAUUCAGAUGCGUGCCCAAAGCUUCAUGCAACUGCUGCCAGAAAUGAGAGGUGAACUGCGUUCCUCUGUCUGACACUAUCUUCUUUGGCACACCAUGAAGACAAACGAUCCGAGACAUGUACAAUUCUGCCAAUACGGCACUGCUAUAGUUGGUCUUGACAGGUAUGAAGUGGGCUGACUUGGUCAAGCGGUCCACUACUACCCAAAUGGAAUCGUAGCCGGCUCGAGUGCGAGGCAAUCCGACUAUGAAAUCCAUACCAAUUUCAUCCCAUUUCCACUGAGGGAUCUGCAACGAUUGCAACAAUCCAGCUGGUCUCUGGUGCUCUGCCUUAAUUCUUCGACAACUAUCACACAUAGCCACAUGCUCUGCGAUUUCCCUCUUCAUUCCGUACCACCAGAAUUUCUUCUUCAGAUCCUGAUACAUCUUCUCACUGCCAGGGUGAAUCGAAUAGGCUGUCUCAUGAGCUUCCUUGAGAAUCAACUCCCGAAUGGACUGGACAUUGGGAACACACAAGCGGUCUUUGAACCAUAUCACGCCUUCUGCAUCCUCUCGAAAAUCCUUGCCUCUGCCAUCUAGAAUCAGUCGCCGGAUCUCACCGAUUUUCUCAUCAUUCUUCUACGCUUCUUUAAUUUCUCGCUCCAAGGUAGGUUCCAACUCAACUGUGACUCCUCGCGAAUUGUUCAAAAAUCCGAGACUCAACCUGUCGAACUCCUUGGCCAACUCAUAAGGCAUCGGACGAGCGACCAUCAGAUUGACUUGACUCUUUCUGCUCAAAGCAUCUGCCACUACGUUUGCUUUGCCUGGAUGGUAAUGAAUCUCCAACUCAUAAUCUUUGAUCAACUCUAACCAUCUUCGUUGCCUCAUAUUCAACUCUGACUGAGUGAAUAUGUACUUCAGACUCUUGUGGUCUGUGUAAACAUCGCAUUUCUGUCCAUACAAAUAGUGCCUCCAUGUCUUCAGUGCGUGAACCACUGCUGCCAACUCUAGAUCAUGGAUUGGGUAGUUCUUCUCAUGAACCUUCAGCUGUCGGGACGAGUAAGCCACAACUCUUCCCUCUUGCAUCAACACGCAUCCCAAACCUGUGUAACAAGCAUCGCAAUACACCGAGAAGGGCUUGUGCACAUCAGGCAAGACUAGGACAGGCGCUGUAGUCAACUUCUCUUUCAGAGCAUCAAAGGCCUCUUGACAUUUCUGGGUCCACUUGAACUCAACCUUGUUGCCUAGCAACGCUAUCAUUGGUUUCGCAAUCUUCGAAAACCCUUCAAUGAAUCGCCGAUAGUAUCCGGCCAUUCCAAUGAAACUCUUGAUUCCUCGAGCAUCUGUUGGCGCUUUCCAGUUCAAAAUGUCUGCCACUUUCUUCGGAUCCACAGCCAACCCUUCCUUGUUGAUUAUGUGACCCAAGAACAGGACUUCACUGAUCCAGAACUCACACUUGCUCAACUUUGCAUACAGCUGGUGCUCUCGCAAUCUCUGCAAUACCAUCUUCAAAUGAUCUGCGUGCUCUUCUUCGCUUUGAGAAUAAAUCAGAAUGUCAUCAAUGAAUACCACCACAAACUUAUCGAGGUAAUCCAUGAAUACACUGUUCAUCAAGUUCAUGAAGAACGCCGGCGCAUUGGUCAAACCAAAAGACAUCACUGUGAACUCAUACAACCCAUACUUGGUAAUGAAUGCCGUCUUCAGAAUGUCCGAAGGUCGGAUCCUGAGCUGAUGAUAACCUGACCUCAGAUCAAUCUUGGAGAACACACUGGCUCCUCUCAACUGGUCGAACAGAUCUUCUAUUCUGGGCAAGGGAUACUUGUUCUUGAUCGUGACUUCAUUCAAAGCUCGAUAAUCAAUACACAUCCUCUUGGUGCCAUCUUUCUUCUCCACAAAUAGGACAGGGGCGGCCCAAGGCGAGGUGCUUGGCCGAAUGUAACCUUUCUCUGACAGCUCAUCAAUCUGCUUCUUAAGCUCAACCAACUCUGGUCCAGAUAUUCUGUAAGCUCUCUUGAAGAUAGGGGCGGUUCCAGGCAGAAGCUCUAUAGCAAACUCAACUUUCCGCUCUGGUGGCAUACCCGGUAAGUCCUUUGGAAACACAUCUGGGAACUCAGACACAACCCUGAUACUCUUAAUUGGGUCUGCCUCACUGCUAUCGACAGCUAGCUGAUAACAACUUCCUUUCUUUGGCUCAGGCGGGACUAACUCGGUCACCACUUCCUCUCCUAGUGGGGACACCAACUUGAUUGUCCUCUUAUCACAACUGAUAACUGCCUGAUACUUAUCUAGCCAAUUCAUCCCUAGGAUGACAUUUAUUCCCUGAGUACCCAUUACUAUAAGGUUGGCGGGAAACGCUAUCCCCCUUAUUUCCACACUUAUAUUCAAACAAAUGCUAUCGGCUCGAAUUCUACCACCGGCUGAGUCAAUUUGAAUGGGGGUUGACAUGGUAGUAAUUGGAAGAUUAUGUGCUUCUACCCAUGAUGCAGUAAUGAAAGAAUGUGUUGCUCCAGUAUCAAAUAACACUUCUGCAAUAUGGGAGUCGACUGGGAACAUACCUACUAUCAUGCCGGGGGUCUCCUGAACUGCUUCAGCCUCCAAGUGAUUCAGUCUUCCAUGAUUGUAACGCGGCUGAGAGCGAUUGCCUGCUCCAGACUGAGGCACAUUCUGCUUUGCGGGGGCAUUGGGGCCUGACUGCUGCUGGGCUGCCUUCUUCGGACAUUGCAUCACCCAGUGGCCUUGCUCUCCACAGUGGAAACAUGCUUUGUUUCCCACCUGAGCUGGUGCUGCCUGAUUGCUUUGCUGGUUUGCUGGGGCAGGAAGACGAGGUGCUUGCUGAUUCUGCCUCUGAAACUGACCUCCUGACUGAUUGCUCUGACGGUUCUGGUACUGGUGCUGAGGAUACUGCCUCUGGAAUUGCUGAUGCUGCUGAGGUGGACGCUGGUUCUGCCUGAACUGCUGAGGUUGAUUGCCUGAGAAACAAGGACGAUUGCUGCUUCCAGGCUGGGGUCCACUGAUCUUGCGCUUACGAUCCUCCAUCUCCUUACGCUUCCUCUCUGUCAUGAUUGCUCUGUCAAUCAGGUGCUGGAAUGUCGGGAAGGUGUGAUUCAUCAGUUGGUACUGCAGAGGGUCAACCAAGCCUCUCAGGAAACGGUACUGUCGCUUGGCGUCGGUGUUGACAUCUUCAGGAGCAUAGCGAGACAGUUGCAGAAACCUGUCUCGGUACUCGCUGACAGACGAUGGCCCUUGCUUGAGGGCCAGGAACUCCUCCUUCUUCACUGUCAUCAGACCUGCAGGAACAUGGUACUGACAAAAGCUACCUCUGAACUCUUCCCAGGUGAUGGCGUCAGGGUGGGCAUGGGUGGCGAGGUAAGACUCCCACCAUGAUUGGGCUGCUCCUCUCAACAGACGGGGACCAUACAGGACUUUCUCCCUGUCAUCGCACUGAGCGGUAUGCAACUCCCGCUCCACAGUGCGCAGCCAGUCUUCAGCAUCCAUGGGGUCAGAAGAGUGAGCGAACGUUGGUGGAUGACCUCUCAUGAAUUCAGCACGCUUGUCUCUGGGCAUCUGAGGCAUCUGAGGCUGAGGUGGGGCCUGCUGCUGCUGCUGAAUGGCGGCCAAAGUCUGACCGAUGGCUUGAACUGCCUGAGUCUGCAUCAGAAACAUCUGCUCGAUCGACAUCGGGGGCGGGGGCGGCAGAUGCUGCUGCUGGGGCACCUCCUCCUGUUGAGCGGCUCGCUCCUGCUGAGCACGCCUUCCUCCUCUGCGCCUAUUCUCUGACAUCUGCAGAAUGCAACCACACAUCAGAACUGAUCUGGCAAAUCUUGCAGCAUAAGAAAAGAGUAUAGAAUUCUUCAACAGCACUGAACAGAUGAGCAUCUUCACUGAUCUCCAACACAGACCACACAACUUCUCAGAUAAAGAGGAAAGUGGAAUAAAAGGUUUCCCAACUAUAUAACUAACUUUAUUAACAUAAUAGGUAAACCAAAAUGCAGGAGAUACCCACACUCUGGUGACAGUCAUUACAAAGAUCCAAACCAAACAUAGUUCAUCAUAACAAGCAUAAAUGCACAAGAUAUAGCAAACUACCCUGUCUAACUAAGACUAACUAAAAGCGAGACUAACGCUAAGACUGUAGCUUCUACGUAUGUAUAUUUCGUAUUAAUUACAAGAUCCAACUCUAACGAGCUAUGGUUCUAGAGUUAUCUUGGUCUUGCAGUCGGGAUUGCCAUAAGACCGGUGUCCACGCCGAGGUGAGCGGUACGGGUGCUGAGUCCCGACGGGAGCGGGGGAACCAUCUUCCAGGUGACAACGUUCCGCGCGCUCAGCCCGCAGCAGGGCGAUCUCAGCACGAGCCCUACUCAGCUCGUCUAAUGCAUGGUCCAGCUUCGUGUUUAGCACGAUGGCUAGGUUGACUGUGCUGCUCAACCUAGGACUGCCCUCACCGACAGGUGAUACAAUCACGCCUCCUGUGCUGCCAGAUGGACGGCGAGGGUAAUACUUCAGGUCAAGGCCGUCAGCUACCCCACCGAAAACCGAGCAGUAGUGCGAAAGCGCACGCCGUGCAGCAUCUUGCAUGGCUGCCUCAGAUGAGUCCCGCUCAGAGAUAGAAUAGUGCUCUGAGCAGGCCUCCGCACCCUGGAGACUGUUCUCCGGGCGGCGCACCAAGCAGGUUGCCUCCCAGCGGUCCGGGUAGACCCCGCGACUAUGCUGGUAGACCACACAGCGAUACUCGAUGGACCAAGUAUGCCUGAGAGCACCUAGAGGGGGGGGUGAAUAGGUGAUCCUGUAAAACUUCAAAACUUAAGCCACAAAAACUUGUUAAGUGUUAGCACAAUUAUGGCCAAGUGGCUAGAGAGGAGUCAAAACACAAUAACCACAAGAAAUCAAUCACAGAGAUGACACGGUGGUUAUCCCGUGGUUCGGCCAAGUACAAAACUUGCCUACUCCACGUUGUGGCGUCCCAACGGACGAGAGUUGCACUCAACUCCUCUCAAGUGAUCCAAUGAUCAACUUGAAUACCACGGUGUUCUUGCUUUUCUUUUCUCAAUCCCGUUUGCGAGGAAUCUCCACAACUUGGAGCCUCUCGCCCUUACAAAAGAUGUUCACAGAGAAUCACAGAGCAAAGGAGGGAUUAGCAACUCACACACGACACAAAGAUCACAGCGAAUACGCACACACAAGACCCAGACUUGAGCUCAAAAGACUAGCACACUAGAACGGAGCUCAAAUCACUAGAAUGUCGAACAAGUGCGCGAGAUUGAUGUGUGAGUGAUCAAGAGUGCUCAAGGAAUGCUUGUGUAUUCUCCUCCAUGCGCCUAGGGGUCCCUUUUAUAGCCCCAAGGCAGCUAGGAGCCGUUGAGAACACAUCUGGAAGGCUAUCCUUGCCUUCUGUCGUCGGGCGCACCGGACAGUCCGGUGCACACCGGACACUGUCCGGUGCCCGAUUUAUUUCCAUAAACAGCGCAUCCGACCGUUGCUGUCUGUUGCAGAUCUGGGCGCCGUUGGCGCACCGGACAUGUCCGGUGCACACCGGACAGUCCGGUGCCCCAUUCCGACCGUUGGCUCGGCCACGUGUCGCGCGCCGAUCGCGCGGCCGACCGUUGGCCCGGCCGACCGUUGGCUCACCGGACAGUCCGGUGCACACCGGACAGUCCGGUGAAUUUUAGCCGAAGUCGCCGGAGAAAAACCCGAGAGCGGCUGGUUUGCUCCGCGCUGGUCUGGCGCACCGGACACUGUCCGGUGCACACCGGACAGUCCGGUGCCCCAGCCCGAAGCAGCCCUCCACUCCUCUUCUUCUUCCUGUUUCUAACACUUAGACAAGAAUAUUAGUACACAAAACCAAUGUACUAAGGCUUAGAAACAUACCUUAACUUGUGAUUUGCACUUUGUUCAUCCAUGGGCAUAUUUUCACAUUUAAGCACUUGUGUUUGCACUCAAUCACCAAAAUACUUAGAAAUGGCCCAAAGGCACAUUUCCCUUUCAAUCUCCCCCUUUUUGGUGAUUUAUGCCAACACAACAUAAAGCAAGUGGAACAAGUGCAAAACUACUUCAAAUAAAAACUAACUUUGAGUUUUAUUCAAUUUUGGCAUAUAUGGAUCAUCCUUUGCCACCACUUGGUUUGUUUUUGCAAAUCAAACUCAAAUCUCUAUCUCUAAGUCAAACACACAUGUUGAGGCAUAAAGAGAGUCAUUCCAAAAGAGAUUGAUCAAGGAUUUCAAAAACUCCCCCUAUUUCCCAUAAUCACCACUUCUCCCCACAAGAAGCCAACUUUUGACAAUAGAGACAAUAAGAGAUAAUAAAAGCUUUUGACAAAUAAGAGAUAAUAAAAGCUUUUGACAAAAACUCACAAAAACUCUAUUCUACUAUUUUCAAAAUCUCUCAAGUGGUAGCUGAUCCAUUUAUUACUUUGGCCUUUAUUUUCUCCCCCUUUGGCAUCAAGCACCAAAACGGGAUUAAUCUUGGCCUUUUAACCCCAUUGCCUCACCAAAGUCUUCAAUUAAGAGCAAAUGGCAAUAAGAUUUCAUGAGAUGAACUUGGAAUUAGUUACCCUCUCAUCGGAGUGCAGUGGAAGUCUUUCAUGGUCCAAGUCCACCUUUUCCCUUUCAAUCCUCCUUCGAGACUAAAUCAUCAAACUCAAGCACAUGGUUAGUCUCAAAGGGUCAAGUUGUAACACAUCUCCCCCUAAACAUGUGCAUCACUUUGCAACGGACUUGUGAGGUCCAGGGAGUGUUUGUACAACUUGAGCAUAAUAAGCAACAAAAUGCAAAAAGGAACAUGAUCAAAAGCAUAAGUACAUGUAUGCUACAAUUCAAUCCAGGUUCCGCGAAUCUAUGACAUUUAGCUCACUACGCAACCUGCAAAAGGUCUUCUCAUCUAGAGGCUUAGUGAAGAUAUCGGCUAGCUGGUUCUCGGUGCUAACAUGAAACACUUCGAUAUCUCCCUUUUGCUGGUGGUCUCUCAAAAAGUGAUGCCGGAUGUCUAUGUGCUUUGUGCGGCUGUGCUCAACAGGAUUCUCCGCCAUGCGGAUAGCACUCUCAUUGUCACAUAGGAGUGGGACUUUACUCAGAUUGUAGCCAAAGUCCCGGAGGGUUUGCCUCAUCCAAAGUAGUUGCGCGCAACACUGACCUGCGGCAACGUACUCGGCCUCAGCGGUGGAUAGGGCAACGGAUGUUUGUUUCUUAGAGUUCCAUGACACCAGGGACCUUCCUAAGAAUUGGCACGUCCCCGAUGUACUCUUCCUAUCGACCUUACAUCCAGCAUAGUCGGAGUCUGAGUAUCCAACUAAGUCAAAGGUAGACCCCUUUGGAUACCAGAGCCCGAAGCAAGGCGUAGCAACCAAAUAUCUAAGAAUUCGCUUCACCGCCACUAAGUGACACUCCUUAGGGUCGGAUUGAAAUCUAGCACACAUGCAUACGCUAAGCAUAAUGUCCGGUCUACUAGCACAUAAAUAAAGCAAAGAACCUAUCAUUGACCGGUAUGCUUUUUGAUCAACGGACUUACCUCCUUUGUUGAGGUCGGUGUGUCCGUCGGUUCCCAUCGGCGUCUUUGCGGGCUUGGCGUCCUUCAUCCCAAACCGCUUUAGUAGAUCUUGCGUGUACUUCGUUUGGGAGAUGAAGGUGCCGUCCUUGAGUUGCUUCACUUGGAACCCAAGGAAGUAGUUCAACUCGCCCAUCAUCGACAUCUCGAAUUUCUGCGUCAUCACCCUACUAAACUCUUCACAAGACUUUUGGUUAGUUGAACCAAAUAUUAUGUCGUCGACAUAAAUUUGGCACACAAACAAAUCACCAUCACAUGUCUUUGUAAAAAGAGUUGGAUCGGCCUUCCCAACCUUGAAAGCAUUAGCAAGUAAAAAGUCUCUAAGGCAUUCAUACCAUGCUCUUGGGGCUUGCUUAAGUCCAUAGAGCGCCUUAGAGAGCUUACACACAUGGUCGGGGUACCGUUCAUCCUCGAAGCCAGGGGGUUGCUCCACGUACACUUCCUCCUUGAUUGGCCCGUUGAGGAAAGCGCUUUUCACAUCCAUUUGGUACAACCUGAACGAAUGGUGAGCGGCAUAUGCUAGCAAGAUACGAAUGGACUCUAGCCUAGCCACAGGAGCGAAAGUCUCCUCAAAGUCCAAACCUGCGACUUGGGCAUAACCUUUUGCCACAAGUCGAGCCUUGUUCCUCGUCACCACCCCGUGCUCGUCCUGUUUGUUGCGGAACACCCACUUGGUUCCCACAACAUUUUGCUUCGGACGAGGCACCAGUGUCCAAACUUCAUUGCGCUUGAAGUUGUUGAGCUCCUCCUGCAUGGCCAAUACCCAAUCCGGAUCUAGCAAGGCCUCCUCUACCCUGAAAGGCUCAAUAGAAGAGACAAAGGAGUAAUGCUCACAAAAAUUAACUAAUCGAGAUCGAGUAGUUACUCCCUUGCUAAUGUCACCCAGAAUUUGAUCGACGGGAUGAUCCCUUUGAAUCAUCGCUCGAACUUGGGUUGGAGGUGCCGGUUGCGCUUCUUCCUCCAUCACUUGAUCAUCUUGUGCUCCCCCUUGAUCAAGCGCCUCCACUUGAGGUACCUGUUCGUCAUCUUCGGUUGGGGAAUGCACCAUAGUUGAGGAAGAAGGUUGAUCUCGUUCAUCUUGUUCCUGUGGCCGUACUUCUUCUUUUCCCUCUUGUUUCCCUUUUCCUGGUCACUAUCAUUAUCGGGGCAGUUAGCGAUAAAAUGACCAAUCUUACCGCACUUGAAGCAUGAGCGCUUCCCCUUCGUCUUGGUCUUGCUUGGCUGCCCCUUGUGACCUUUUAGCACCGUCUUGAAGCGUUUGAUGAUGAGAGCCAUCUCUUCAUCAUUAAGUCCGACCGCCUCAAUUUGUGCCACCUUGCUAGGUAGCACCUCCUUGCUUCUUGUAGCUUUGAGAGCAAAAGGUUGUGGUUCGUUGAUCGGUCCAUUCAAGGCGUCGUCCACGUACCUUGCUUCCUUGAUCAUCAUUCGCCCGCUGACGAAUUUUCCUAAGACUUCUUCGGGCGACAUUUUGGUGUACCUGGGAUUCUCACGAAUAUUAUUCACCAAAUGAGGAUCAAGAACGGUAAAGGACCUUAGCAUUAGUCGGACGACGUCGUGGUCCGUCCAUCGCGUGCUUCCGUAGCUCCUUAUUUUGUUGAUAAGGGUCUUGAGCCGGUUGUAUGUUUGAGUUGGCUCCUCGCCCCUUAUCAUCGUGAACCGUCCAAGCUCGCCCUCCACCAACUCCAUUUUGGUGAGCAAGGUAGCGUCAUUUCCCUCAUGAGAGAUCUUGAGGGUAUCCCAGAUUUGCUUGGCGUUAUCCAAGCCACUCACUUUGUUAUAUUCAUCCCUGCACAAUGAAGCUAGAAGAACAGUAGUAGCUUGUGCAUUCUUAUGGAUUUGCUCAUUAAUGAAUAUAGGACUAUCCGAACUAUUAAAGUGCAUUCCACUAUCUACAAUCUCCCAUAUACUAGGAUGGAGAGAGAAUAGGUGACUACGCAUUUUGUGGCUCCAAAAUCCGUAGUCCUCCCCAUCAAAGUGUGGGGCUUGCCGAGUGGAAUGGAAAGCAAAUGUGAAUUUGAGCUUUGCGGAAUACGAGAGUAGUCAAAGGAAAAGUUAGAAUUAACCGGUUUCCUUUGCUCGUAGUCGUUGUGGUCGUCGUCCUUUUGGGAAGAAGUAGACUCAUCACUGUCGUCGUAGUAGACGAUCUCCUUGAUGCGCCUCGUCUUCUUCUUCUUCCCUUCCUUUCGUCUAUGACCCGAGCCGGAGUCGGUAGGCUUGUCAUCUUUGAGCUCAUUGACGAAGGACUCCUUCUCCUUAUCAUUGAUCACGAUUCCCUUCCCCUUAGGAUCCAUCUCUUCGGGCGGCUAGUCCCUUUCUUGAAGAGAACGGCUCUGAUACCAAUUGAGAGCACCUAGAGGGGGGGGUGAAUAGGUGAUCCUGUAAAACUUCAAAACUUAAGCCACAAAAACUUGUUAAGUGUUAGCACAAUUAUGGCCAAGUGGCUAGAGAGGAGUCAAAACACAAUAACCACAAGAAAUCAAUCACAGAGAUGACACGGUGGUUAUCCCGUGGUUCGGCCAAGUACAAAACUUGCCUACUCCACGUUGUGGCGUCCCAACGGACGAGAGUUGCACUCAACUCCUCUCAAGUGAUCCAAUGAUCAACUUGAAUACCACGGUGUUCUUGCUUUUCUUUUCUCAAUCCCGUUUGCGAGGAAUCUCCACAACUUGGAGCCUCUCGCCCUUACAAAAGAUGUUCACAGAGAAUCACAGAGCAAAGGAGGGAUUAGCAACUCACACACGACACAAAGAUCACAGCGAAUACGCACACACAAGACCCAGACUUGAGCUCAAAAGACUAGCACACUAGAACGGAGCUCAAAUCACUAGAAUGUCGAACAAGUGCGCGAGAUUGAUGUGUGAGUGAUCAAGAGUGCUCAAGGAAUGCUUGUGUAUUCUCCUCCAUGCGCCUAGGGGUCCCUUUUAUAGCCCCAAGGCAGCUAGGAGCCGUUGAGAACACAUCUGGAAGGCUAUCCUUGCCUUCUGUCGUCGGGCGCACCGGACAGUCCGGUGCACACCGGACACUGUCCGGUGCCCGAUUUAUUUCCAUAAACAGCGCAUCCGACCGUUGCUGUCUGUUGCAGAUCUGGGCGCCGUUGGCGCACCAGACAUGUCCGGUGCACACCGGACAGUCCGGUGCCCCAUUCCGACCGUUGGCUCGGCCACGUGUCGCGCGCCGAUCGUGCGGCCGACCGUUGGCCCGGCCGACCGUUGGCUCACCGGACAGUCCGGUGCACACCGGACAGUCCGGUGAAUUUUAGCCGAAGUCGCCGGAGAAAAACCCGAGAGCGGCUGGUUUGCUCCGCGCUGGUCUGGCGCACCGGACACUGUCCGGUGCACACCGGACAGUCCGGUGCCCCAGCCCGAAGCAGCCCUCCACUCCUCUUCUUCUUCCUGUUUCUAACACUUAGACAAGAAUAUUAGUACACAACCAAUGUACUAAGGCUUAGAAACAUACCUUAACUUGUGAUUUGCACUUUGUUCAUCCAUGGGCAUAUUUUCACAUUUAAGCACUUGUGUUUGCACUCAAUCACCAAAAUACUUAGAAAUGGCCCAAAGGCACAUUUCCCUUUCAAUGCCGGUUAAGUGCCCGACGUAGCAGGGUGUCGAGCGCAUCGUGGAAGUGACACCCGCGAGCAGCGUCGCGAGUGAUGGGUCGAGCAACCCAUCCUUCCGGCUCAAGGUUAGCAGAAAGGUCGGUGUCGUGGCUCGAGCUGUCGUCGCCACCUCUGUCGUCUGGGUCUCCUCCAGCAGCUACUCCAGAAGCUGGGGCGCCCAGUGGUGGUGCAGAGGGCGCCUCCAGAGGAAGCACGGGGGAGUAGCUCCUCACGGACUCUAUCUCCUGCUGGAGCGAGAAGGAAGAGCCCUGCUGCUCCUGUCGUCGACGUUCCUGCUCCUCAUGCAGGCGGUGGUGUAGUCUCUCCAAGUGGCUGGACUGUCCGGCCACGGGACGGCGAAGCGGACGCUCAGCAAGGCGGGAGGGUAAGAAGGGGAUGACAGACUUUCGUGCAGUGUGUCUAAGUCGAGCCAUCUACAAAAGACAUCGCAAGCAAAAGGGUGAGAAUAGAAUCAAUAUGACCAGCAAAUAAUGAAUCAUAAGUAAAUGAAGAAUUAGAAUAAAACAUGAUUUUCAGCAAGGUAUAUUAUAUAGUAGAACAUAGGUUUGGCCGGUAUGACCAACUUUUGAAGGGAUAUCAAAGUCAAGGCAGGGACAGAGGUCUAUAGUCCUUAGAACGACCAUUCUACUCUAGGUUAGCGGUCCUACAGUCUGCACGGCUUUGAUACCACUUAUGUCACACCCGAUUUUAGAAGGCAAACCGAAUGCGAACCAUGUACGUGCCAGGAUCAGUUAUUCACGUACACAACAGUUACAUAACAUGGACAUCAUCACACAAUGCUCAAAAUAGUAUUAAGAAGGGAAAUAGUCGAUUACAUCAUACGUCUGAGACGUCCAUAUAGUCUUUACAAUAAAUCAAAGUGCGGAAAAGAAACGUAGAUAAACGCGGCCUUCACAGGCAGCCGACUGGGGGUUGCCGCUAACCCACACCUAGAACUCGUCGUAGUCUUGGAACUCUUGGAAGUCUCCUUCCACAGCUUCAUCUUCUCCUGAGCAGUGGUUGCAAUGCUGACAACCUGGGGAUGGGGGGGGUUUGGUGUGUAGAGCAAGGGUGAGUACAGAUCAACAUACUCAGCAAGUAUCCUGUUUGGCUGUAGUGGACUAGCUUUAUGUGGGGAUAAGUCAAGCAGUUGCUUUUAGUUGGUCAGAUUAUUAUUUACUAAUAGAAAGCCAGGUUUUAGCAUUAACCCAAGUUAUUAGCCCGAUGUACCCUUUCCAAACGGAAAGAAUACCACUUACCAACACCAUAGUCAUAACCAAAACCAUCGAUCUCAUAACCACCUGUACCAAAGUAUCUCUGAUCAAGUACCACUAAUCACUGGAGCUCCCUUGGCCGCUCAUAACCGCGAGCACGGCUGAUAUAUCAGUUUUCAAACACUCUGCAGAGGUUGUGCACUUUACCCACAAGCCGUGAUUCCCUUUCUGCCCGGAGAUCAUGACUCUCCAUUGAUCACUACCAAGGUGACCCAGCAGGGCAUCACUACGUAGCCUUUACAAAGAUUCCCCGGGACUGUAGCCACCAGUUAGGUUUCCUAAAUGCACCGCACUCCUCCCCAAGGGGCGAACCCAAACUUGGCAGAGCGAGCCGCAUACACCGAGCCCCAUUGACGGCACGACGGCUAAGUGAACUACACCCCGGAUCCUCUAAUUAUUCAGCUAAGGGCACCCCAUUCCACCCUCAUGGUUGCACUGUUUUCCCGAGCGGUCAUCCAUAGAACAGGUCCUUACAGAGAGGCACUCGAGAAACCGCUCGAGCCCCCUUGAUGACCACAAGUACAACAUUAUAAUAAGAGAAGGGAGAACAGCGUAUCAUAGAUAAUCUCAUCAUGUUCAUUGAUUAGAGUUUGAGCAAUAGCAUAAAGCUAAACAAUAAUAAUCCAACCCAAAUAGGUAGACAAGGACAUGGAUAACAAAAGCUAGUCAAUCCUUAGGCAUAAAUGUGUAAUGCAGGAGGUGAAUUAAAGAAUGUAUAGGACAGAGAUAGGUCAAGGGACACUUGCCUCCACCAACCGACUGCUGCUCAGGGGCUUCUCCUGCGAGUUCCUCGGGCUCUUCAACCGGAUCGUUCUCUAAGCGGGUGCAAACAUACAUACAUCCAUCCAUUGAAAUUAGGAAACCAACAGUACACCAUACAAGAGAACAAGUAAAGCAAAUAUGCAUAGAAUACCACAUACGAUAAUGGAUUUACCUUGGUUAGAAAGAAACGAGGGAAGGUCUCGCAGGGGUUAAGGCUUAUGCUCGAGGGGCACUAUGGGUUGGUGAAUAACUAGACGUCACGUGUUCUAGUUCCAAUUGGUUCUAACAAAAGAAUUAGCUACAUGCACUAAUGUAAACGCGAUCACUUUUAGUAGAUUAACAUUGAAUAAGAUAGACGAUUGGCUAUACAAAUUAACUAACGUAACCAAUUUCCAAAUUGAGACUCCUAUCUUAUUAAUAUAAACGACGUGAUUAGCGCAUAUAGGAUACCGGGGGGGUAGACGGGGGGUUAGGGGGGUAGACGAGGCACGACGGGUCGUGCCAAGGCACGCGCACUACGCGGGCACGCGCGCGAGGCCGCACGCACACACCACGGACUAGCCGUGCGCACGUCGGGGCCGAGCGCUAGCCGAGCUCAAAGCCGCGCGCCAUAGGCACGCUGGGCCAAGCUCGAGACCACGCAGGGGCCGACACGACGCGAGCAAGGCACGGCGGGGCGAGCGGGCAAGCAGCCGGGGAAAACGAGCGCGGGCGAGCGAGGAUACGGUCGGACGAGGCCGAGCGCGGGAACAGGCGGCCGAGCCGGGGCACGGGGGCGGUUGAACCGGGGGGGGGCGGCCGAGCUCGCCGGGAGGCGGGCGGGUCGCCGAGGCGGGGACGGGGGACGGCUCACCGGAGCGGGCGCGGGGCGGCUCGCCGGAGCGGGCGCGAGGGCGGGGCCGAGCGGGCGCGGCCGGGCUCGCCGGGGGCGGGGCCGAGCCGGACACGGGAGGGGGAGGGGCGGCUCGCCGGAGGGGCGGCCGGGCGCGGGGGCGGGCUGGUCGCCGGAGGCGGGGCCGAGGGGCGCGGCCAAGCCGGGACGGGCUCGCCGGAGCGGGGCCGAGGCGGUAGGCCUGCUAAUGGCAAAAAAUCCAAUCCACUCCCACCCAUACCCAAAUCUAAUUACUUUGAUAUCCAUCCCACACCCAACCAAAAAUACUAUAGGGAAGUUAAACCUAACCCAUCCAAUAACAUUAUUAAUCCCAAACCAACCCGUAAUUGGGUGGAAACCCAUGGAAAACCCGUGGGUUUAGCUUAUUGUCUCACAUCAAGCCAACUGCAUACACAUUUUAAAAAUCACAUUUUAAAGCAGUAAAUUAAUUCAAAUGAAAAAGUUUUCAACUACAAAUUUGUAUAACUCAUCAUGAUGUACAUUUUAUAUUUUGAACAUUUCUUCAUAUGAUAAACUAAAAAUAAAUUUGUUCAUAAAACUUAUCUCUCUCUCAUAGUUUAUGGAACUACGAGAGAUAUGUAUAGAAUUUGUGCAUAUUGUUAGAACUAUCAUGUGAGAUGAACAAAUGAUCAAACAACCAAAAUAAACUUUGUAGAUCUUGAAAAGUUAUAGAAGUUUGUAGUUGACAACUUUUUCAUUUGAAGUCAUAUUGUCAACGAAAACUAUGCCUGAAUUUAAAAAAUUUAAAAUUUGAAUUUUGAAAACAACCUCGAAAGAAAAAACCACCAACAUGAAAGUUGUAGGUAUUGAAGGGUUAUGAAACUUUAUAGUUGACAAUGUUUUGGUUUGAAAUCAUCUUGCCAUGCAAAACUAUGUUUGAAUUUUGAAUUUUAAAUUUUUCAAACUACCUCGGAUGAAAAACCACCAAAAUAAAAGUUGUAGGUCUUGAAAUGUUAUGAAACUUUGUAAUUGUCAACUUUUUUAUUUGAAAUCAUCUUAUCAUUGAAAAAUUCGUGUGAAGUUUUCAAAUUUAAAAUUCAAAUUUUGUAAACGGUCUCGGAUGUAGAAACUAUUAAAAUAGAAUUUGUAGAUAUUAAAAAGUUAUACAACUUUAUAGUUGGUCACAUUUUUAAAUAAAAUGGUACUGAUAAAAUGGUAUAGUAUAGUGUGUUGUGUGUGACUAAAGAAAUCAAAGACUUCUCUAAACCUAAAAUAAAAUGGUACUGAUUAAGGUGGUAGUCUGAUUGGUGAAUACCCAUGGAAACCCAUACCUAUACAAAUCCAUUUAUACCCAUGGGUAUCCACCAUUUUGACCCGCAAUAUAAAAUAAACCCACCCAACCCAACCCGUUAAUAAUUAAAACCCAUUACAACCCACCAAAACAAAACUAUUUCUUAAACCCACCUAAAAUACCCAUUUACACCCACCCCAUUUGCAGCCCUACGAGGCAGCCGAGCUCGGGGCGCGGGGGAGGGCGGGGCGCGGCCGGGCGGGCGGCGCGGGGUGGCCGGGCCGGGCGGGGUCGGCCGGGCGGGCGGCGCGGGGUGGCCGGACGCGGGCGGGGUGGCCGAGCCGAGCGGCGCGGGGGCGCGAGCGGCCGGGCCGGGGGCCGAGCCGGGCGGCGCGGGUGAGGAGAGGGCGCCGGAGGGAGGAGAGGGAGGGAGGAGAGGGGGGAAGCCUCACCGGAGGGGGGCGGCACGGGGCGGCGCGCAGGGGCGGCGGCGGCGGCGCACAGGGGCGGCGGCGGUGCGCAGGGCAAGGGGCGGCGCGGUUAGGGUUUGGGGAAGAGAGAGAGGGUGAGAGAAUGACAGGCGGGGCCCGCGGGAGGGAUUUUUGGAAAAAAGAAAAGGGAGGGGGGCGGCUGGGCCGGCCAUGGGCCGAAAGGGGGAAGGGGGCGCGCGGCUGGGCCGGCCAGGAGGCCCACGCGGGAGGGGAGGGGGGAGGCGCGGCUGGGCCGGCGCGCAAGGGGGGGGGCGGCUGGGCCGAAAUGGGAAAGGGAGAGAGGGGGUUUUCUUUUUCUAAAAUCUAAUUUUCUUUGGAUGAAUGCUUUUACAUUUUUAAACAAUCAAAAGUAUGCAUGGUUCGGCAUGGUGCACCAUCCAAAAUAAAGUAUUUUAAGGUUUUGCUUUACACGGGGUCUAAAGCCAAAACCCGCUAUAACUUUGGAAAAGAUCAAGGUUUAGCGAGGGAACGAGAAAAAAGAAAAGGGUAACGCCUGAAUUUGGUGAGAGAAAAGAAGAAAAAAAUUCUACCCCCAAAUUCAGGGCGUUACAGUCACCUAUCAUUUUCUUAUCAUAACAAGAGGCAUCAUGAAGAUUGCACAAGUAUGAAUUAUACAACUAGUGAUCAUGUACGAAAAAUAUCAAUUGAAAACCACCAAUUGAUACAGUUUGAUAGAUAAUCAGAUCACUAAUUGCAUAUUACACUAAGUUCUCCUCAAGUUUUAGUGCACACAUAUAUAUGAAUUCAAUUGAUACCUGUUGAGAGUACUUAUUUGCAACUUAAAGUACCAUUGGCAUAAAAGGAGUAUCAAUUGAACAUAAUCAUGCAACAUAAGAAACAUGUGCACUAUUUAAUCAAUUAAGUUCUAGACAGGAGAAUCUAUAAGCUAUGCUACUUCAGAUAUUUGUAAUCCAAAAAGAUGUGAUACAUAUUUACCAAUUUUAGAUGACGUUGGAGUAGCAUAUACAAGAGAAACUCAUUCUCUUAUGAAAUGUAUAGAAGAUACAUUUAUUGGAGCAAAGAAUCUUUGAUACCCAUCAAAAUUUGCAGUGGAAGCGAUUGUCUUUACUUGAAGAUUCUUUUCUAAUUUGAGACUACACACAUAAUAGACUUGAAAAUGAAGUUAGUCUCAAAGUUUCAAAUUAUAGACCAUUCUCCCCCUAAAUGUAUGCAUACAAGUGAUGAAUACUUGUUUAGCUUAUGCACUUGGACUUGUGAGGCCAGGGGAUUAAGUUCUACCAUUUGAACCUUGGUACAAAUAAAGUAUGAAAAUAUGAAAUUGCACCAAUUUAAGGAAUUACUCAUAAUCAAACGGUAUACUAAUAGACAUGAUAUGCAAUAUUUUAAGCCAAGAUUCAAGUGCAACCUUAUGAUGUGACUUAAGAUAUUGCAUAUACAUGCAUACACUAACUUGUAAGAGCCUAGAUACACAAAUGUAAUACAAUAGUUCAUGGAGUGACACACCUUUGUUCCAUGCCAUAUGGUCUUCAUUAUAAUCAUGAAUUUCUAUCUUAGCUUUUGAUAGGCUUGACAUUUCAAAGAGAAACUUAUCCUCUUUAAACGAUCAAGAGAAACUCAUUCUCUUCAAAGAACUACACAAAUUCACUAAAAGAAAAUGUUAGUCUUUAAGGACACAAGAUAUAGAAUGAGCUCCCCCUAAAUGUAUGCAUCAAGUACUCGAAUUACUUGUAACAUGCACUUGAUUCAAUUAAGAUUCUUAGAGGAGUUCACCAUAUAUCUUGGUCAAGGCAUAAUAUAUUUGAAACAAUUGAAUUUAUGCUAGAGAACACAUAUCGUUCCCCAAUAGAACUAAUCCAUGGGUGACAUGUGGUAAAUAUUUGAUCAUUUCCUUGGAACCACUCAUCCUCAUUUGAUGUUCUCCAAGGUGUGAGACUACACAACAUGAACUUAAAAGAAAUCAUUAGUCUCACAAGAUAUAGGUUAAACUCUCCCUCAAUUUGUGCAUGCAAGAGUACACAAAGUACACUUAUGCACAUCAAAAAUACGAGGUUAAAGGAGAUGUUUGCACUAUAUCUUGGUUUAACAUAACAUGCUUUACAUAGAUGAUGAAAAUUAAGCCAAUUGAAGUUUAAGAACUGAAAGUAUAUCAAUUGAAAUCCUAAAGGGCAAAGCAUGCUAAUAUGAACCUCAAACCUCAUAAUGACGGAUAUCAUAUAAAUAUGUCACUACAUCUCCAUUAUUUGGUUGACAAAAAGUGUAACUCCCUUCUUGAAUCACUGUGAUUUCUUUUCUCUUUAUGAUUUCAUCCAACCAGGCGAUCUUGAACUUCAUUCAUCUUGGCUUGGUUCAAUCAUACUUGAUAUGAGACCCAUUGAAACUCAAUGAUUGAAACAACCAAGACUCUUAUAUCCGUAGAUUUUGAAUCCAUCUUGAAAGCACUUGGAAAGAGCUUACUGAAACACUUAGAAAAGAGAGCAUUAGAGACACAAGGGAGGGUUUCACAAAUGAUAAUCCUUAUAUGUGGAUGGAGAAUAAAUCAUCAUUCUUGAAACCCAAAAGGAUAGAUUAAAUUCUUUUAAAUUAGUGCACACAUAUAGUUGAUGUCAAAUUUAUAUGCACUAUUGAACAUUUUAUAUUGCAAGGAAAUUAACCUAUACUAUGGUACAUCCCACUAAGGAUAGAAUACUAAAACAACUGAAGGAGAGGAAGUUUUCAUACCUUGGCCUCUUAUCAACUUCAUCUUACUUUAGUUGAAUAGUAUCCUUUAAGCUUGUGAUUUAUCCAAUUUAAAACAAGCACCAUCUCUUAACAUAGAUUUUCUAUGGAUAAACUCAACACAAGAGAUGACAUUAGUAGCACAAGCACUAGUUUCUUGUUUAGCAACCUUUUAUAUGUGGAAGACAAGCGUGUUGCUAAAAUAAAGAAACAUCAUAAUAUGGACUAAAUUUCUUUGAACCCUCAUGCACAAUAUAUUUUGAAUGACAUGGAUAAUAUGCAUGGUUAUUCAAUGAAGUCUAAAGGGAUGACUUAAUCCAUAUUAUGGUGAGUGUCUAAUAUAGAAGAAUCAAAUCCAAAUUAACUAGAUAGAGAAUACGUCACAUAAUUUUGGAUUGUUCACCAUAUGAUAAUAUUCAUUCAACUUCCAAUUAGACCUUUAUUUCAUAAUCAACAUCUGAUGUAUAUCCUCAAGUGCUUCUUUUUCCUUAGUGGCUACACAAGUCACAAAAAGAUAAGAUUUGAAAAUAAUAUGCACUUGAGAUUCAGUUGUUACCAUCCUAGCUACUAUCUCCAAAGAUGAUUUAUACAUUCAUUAUCGAGCACCCAACUUGAUCCAUUGAAGCAGUGAUCAUCAUUGUGUUGCCUUCUUGAUGAUGAACCUAGCUUGACCUUGGGUGCACCUAGCUUAUCAAGGUUAGUCGCACAAACAUUCAUAUCAUAAAGACAAGUUAUGC